rnacentral:rRNA from 1 species
AUUGAACGCUGGCGGCAUGCCUUACACAUGCAAGUCGAACGGUAACGGGUCCUUCGGGAUGCCGACGAGUGGCGAACGGGUGAGUAAUAUAUCGGAACGUGCCCAGUAGUGGGGGAUAACUGCUCGAAAGAGCAGCUAAUACCGCAUACGACCUGAGGGUGAAAGGGGGGGAUCGCAAGACCUCUCGCUAUUGGAGCGGCCGAUAUCAGAUUAGCUAGUUGGUGGGGUAAAGGCCUACCAAGGAAACGAUCUGUAGUUGGGCUGAGAGGACGACCAGCCACACUGGGACUGAGACACGGCCCAGACUCCUACGGGAGGCAGCAGUGGGGAAUUUUGGACAAUGGGCGCAAGCCUGAUCCAGCAAUGCCGCGUGCAGGAAGAAGGCCUUCGGGUUGUAAACUGCUUUUGUCAGGGAAGAAAUCUUCUGGGCUAAUACCCCGGGAGGAUGACGGUACCUGAAGAAUAAGCACCGGCUAACUACGUGCCAGCAGCCGCGGUAA